UACGAAGGGGGCGAGCGUUGUUCGGAAUUACUGGGCGUAAAGGGCGCGCAGGCGGUGCAUGAAGUCAGAUGUGAAAGCCCCGAGCUUAACUUGGGAACUGCAUUUGAUACUCGUGCGCUAGAGUUCGGGAGAGGAGAGUGGAAUUCCCAGUGUAGAGGUGAAAUUCGUAGAUAUUGGGAAGAACACCGGUGGCGAAGGCGGCUCUCUGGACCGAUACUGACGCUGAGGCGCGAAAGCGUGGGGAGCAAACAGG
rnacentral:rRNA from 1 species